ACACGACUACAUUAGAUACCCGCGUAGUCCUAGCCGUAAACGNUACUCGCUAGGUGUCGGCCACGGUGCGACCGUUGUCGGUGCCGUAGGGAAGCCGUGAAGCGAGCCACCUGGGAAGUACGGCCGCAAGGCUGAAACUUAAAGGAAUUGGCGGGGAGCACCACAACGGGUGGAGCUUGCGGUUUAAUUGGACUCAACGCCGGAAAUCUUACCGGGACCGACAGCAACAUGAAGGCCAGGCUGAAGACUUUGCCGGAUUAGCUG
rnacentral:rRNA from 1 species